UGGGGAAUAUUGGACAAUGGGGGCAACCCUGAUCCAGCCAUGCCGCGUGUGUGAAGAAGGCCUUUUGGUUGUAAAGCACUUUAAGCAGUGAAGAAGACUCCAUGGUUAAUACCCAUGGACGAUGACAUUAGCUGCAGAAUAAGCACCGGCUAACUCUGUGCCAGCAGCCGCGGUAAUACAGAGGGUGCAAGCGUUAAUCGGAAUUACUGGGCGUAAAGCGAGCGUAGGUGGCUUGAUAAGUCAGAUGUGAAAGCCCCGGGCUUAACCUGGGAACGGCAUCUGAUACUGUUAGGCUAGAGUAGGUGAGAGGAAGGUAGAAUUCCAGGUGUAGCGGUGAAAUGCGUAGAGAUCUGGAGGAAUACCGAUGGCGAAGGCAGCCUUCUGGCAUCGUACUGACACUGAGGUUCGAAAGCGUGGGUAGCAAACA
rnacentral:rRNA from 1 species